GGAGAGGUACCCAAAGCGGCCGAAUGGGGUCCGGCCUUUCGCCGGACGGGCUCUGCCCACGCAGGUUCGAAUCCUGCCCUCUCCGC
rnacentral:tRNA from 1 species